UGAUCGUAGCGGUGCGUGCUUGGACCAGCCCAUCGCCUCAUCCUGCUUCUUCUCGCAUCGACGAAUCGUCUAGAAUAGCUCAGCUCUUCUCAUUUUCGUUUCGUCGGGAGAAUUGCGAUCUCGUCUUCAGUUGUUGAGGGUGCAAGUUUUGUCGCAGCAGGAAAAAGAAUGUUCGUGUGAUGGGUGUGAGAGGGCCUCCUUUGGAUCUGCGAGCUUUCCUGCUGCGAGGCCACUGCAUUCGCUUGUACCGAGCAGCCUUGCGGUCUGCGCGUCGAGCUCCAGCUUAUUCCCGAGAGGAAUUGGAACAAACCAUCCGGCGGGAAUUCGAGCUGCAUCGCUUUGAAGGAAAUUCGCAGACAAUCCGUUUCCUACUCAGUGACGGAUUGCAGCGCCUGAAGCAACUCAACACCUUGUUAGGCAUUCAAGGUCAUGAGCCCGACGUGAGGGUGUAGGGUUUACGCCUUAUUAUUGUAUUCUACCGCCUUAUCCAAGCAUUACGAAUCUGCCACUCAGCUGAACGAAAACCCACUCAAUUUUGACACCUUAUGGUGAAGAUGACUACCAUCUAUUCUCAGUACGCAAGCGUAUCUUCGUCAAUGAAAUUGGUCCACUCCAAAGUGGAUUCGAGUGAUUCCAGAAGAUGGGCUGUUCAAAGUUUCAGCCUAGUAACGCAUUCAGCUCGAUGCCCACUGAGCAGGCCCUUGAAGAUAUUCACCUCAUCGUUUAAUCGCAGAGGCAAUGUCACUGCAUCGGCGUUAGACGAAUCCAGCGACAAGAAUGUUCCUCUAUGGAGGAAAGAGCUCACAUCGCUUGAGGAUUCGGCUGGCGAGAACUCAGACUUCAAGGAUGACUUCCUCCAAAACUCGUCGUUGGAGGAAGACAUUGCCCGGUUUCAAAAGAAGAGGGACUUGGAGAAACGCAUAGAGAACUUCAACCGCACGGGCAAUGCGUCUGAGAGUGGGAAACCAGAAGGCGAUGGGAUGGUCAAAUCCUUGGUAGAGAAAGUUCUUGUAGCGGAUUUCUUCUUCAUUCUCUUCAUCCUUGCAUGGUUGGUGGCUGGGCUAGGUGAGAAAUCCUUGCUUCAGUCUUCCACGCUGAUAGAUUCAUGGCUUCCUCUUUGGCCCACUCUGUUCCAACCGGCCCUGGGUGUGUUCAUGGCUGGUGCCAUCGUUUCCGCUGCCUCGGGAUUCCUGGCAAAGAAUGGAAACCAGUGAGACGCUGUGUCUGUUCGUUGUAACUCAAAAA